UGUGCUCCUUGGCCUUUUGGCCAAGAUCAAGUGUAAUAUCUGUUCUUAUCAGCUUAAUACGUGAUAUGUCCUCUAUCUAAGGACAGUAUAUUAAAUGGAUUUCUGGAGCUGGGAGAUAGAAGAGGAGCUUGCUCCGUCUACUCAAAGUAUUAACCUGGUAUUGUAGUACCUCCAGGAAUGAUGCAUCAAAA
rnacentral:snRNA from 1 species